AGUGAACGCUGGCGGUAGGCCUAACACAUGCAAGUCGAACGGCAGCACAGUAAGAGCUUGCUCUUACGGGUGGCGAGUGGCGGACGGGUGAGGAAUACAUCGGAAUCUACUUUUUCGUGGGGGAUAACGUAGGGAAACUUACGCUAAUACCGCAUACGACCUACGGGUGAAAGCAGGGGAUCUUCGGACCUUGCGCGAUUGAAUGAGCCGAUGUCGGAUUAGCUAGUUGGCGGGGUAAAGGCCCACCAAGGCGACGAUCCGUAGCUGGUCUGAGAGGAUGAUCAGCCACACUGGAACUGAGAAACGGUACAGACUGCUACGGGAGGCAGCAGUGGGGAAUAUUGGACAAUGGGCGAAAGCCUGAUCCAGCCAUACCGCGUGGGUGAAGAAGGCCUUCGGGUUGUAAAGCCCUUUUGUUGGGAAAGAAAAGCAGCAGGUUAAUACCCCGCUGUUCUGACGGUACCCAAAGAAUAAGCACCGGCUAACUUCGUG
rnacentral:rRNA from 1 species